rnacentral:rRNA from 1 species
UGACCUCAAAUCAGGUAGGACUACCCGCUGAACUUAAGCAUAUCAAUAAGCGGAGGAAAAGAAACUAACAAGGAUUCCCCUAGUAACUGCGAGUGAAGCGGGAAAAGCUCAAAUUUAAAAUCUGGCAGUCUUUGGCUGUCCGAGUUGUAAUCUAGAGAAGUGCUAUCCGCGCUGGACCGUGUACAAGUCUCCUGGAAUGGAGCCUCAUAGAGGGUGAGAAUCCCGUCUUUGACAUGGACUACCAGGGCUUUUGUGAUGUGCUCUCAAAGAGUCGAGUUGUUUGGGAAUGCAGCUCAAAAUGGGUGGUAAAUUCCAUCUAAAGCUAAAUAUUGGCGAGAGACCGAUAGCGAACAAGUACCGUGAGGGAAAGAUGAAAAGAACUUUGGAAAGAGAGUUAAACAGUACGUGAAAUUGCUGAAAGGGAAACGCUUGAAGUCAGUCGCGUUGUCCAGGGAUCAACCUUGCUUUUGCUUGGUGCACUUUCUGGUUGACGGGUCAGCAUCAAUUUUGACUGUUGGAAAAAGAUCAAGGGAAUGUGGCAUCUUUGGAUGUGUUAUAGCCCUUGGUUGUAUACAAUGGUUGGGAUUGAGGAACUCAGCACGCCGCAAGGCCGGGUUUUUAACCACGUACGUGCUUAGGAUGC